GAUGCAGCCGUCACAGUCGACGUGCCCAGUGUUCUCCUUGAUGGUCCUCUCGGAGACGAAGGCUGGGUACUCGGUGUCACAUGGCACCUGCAUGGACCGACCAAACCUCUGAGCUGAACCGGGACCAAGAAGAACGGUGGAAAAUGAGAGCAGGAAAGAGAGAGAAUGGCAGAACCUGCGUAAGAGCUGGUGUCUCCUCCUCAGUCUGCCGAGCUGCUUUGGAACGGGGAGCCACAGACGCCUGCUUAUAUCAUCACUUUGAGCAAGCAAGUCUGCAGUGAGAGGUGCGGGGUCUUCUCUUCUUCACGAGUGCUGCAUCUUUUAUAAAACACUUGUCGAAACCAACAUGCCC